ensembl:lncRNA
AUGAAACACUCCAUCUUGCGGAAGAGACUGCUAAUGGUCCAAAUGGUGAUAAUCACGACUAUGAAACAAUCGCUGACUUGGAAGAGACUGCAAAUUGUGAAAAUGAAGCAGAUAAAGUUCAUGAAGCCACAUACUCUCUUACCGACCUUAAAAAUUCCAGAAAGAACACAAGGAAGCAUCAUAAACCACAUGAGAGUCCUCUUUCCACUGAUGUGAACAUGGAAAAUCCAGGUCAGUGAAGAGAGCAAGAGUAGCAAAGCCAAAGAGAAGCAUAGUAUAAUCAUACUAUAAUGUUUAGAGCAUAUGCAUGCUGUAUAUGUUCCCUACAUCCUCUGAGUGAGACACUCUUGAUAAAACUUUGCAUAAGCAUUGCAUAGGGCACUGUGAGUGACCCAUGCAUAUGUAAAUAUUUGAAGUCUCAGAAUCGUAUAUAAUUGUAUAUUUGACAGUUCAAUUGGAAUAAUGGAAUAUCAGAAUAGAGUGGCGUGUCUAAUUUAAUGUAUUUUAGCAUCAUAUUAUAGCAUAUAUCAUAGCAUCUCAUAUGUGGUAGCAUAUACAGAUUUGUAUUCCCUGUCUCCCAUGGUAAUUGCAGUGUGCUGGGAUUUGCUUGUAUGUAAUGAUAUAGACACAAUAUUCUGUUUUGUUGUUGUUUUGAGGGGUUUUUUGUAUUAUCUGGUUUAACUGACA